CUAUUUGGCUGUGACGCCCGCGGCAAUCUAAUUGUGGAGUUCCCUAUCCCUUUUCUAAGACCUAAGAUGGCGACGUUUGCCCGGGCUCUAAGUACGGCCUGAGUACCAGGUGUGGGAAAUCGGCCAGAGGGCGAGUUUACUAAGGAAAGUCCAGAAACUGGUCAGCUUUUGUGUUGGGACUUUUUUUUUUUUUACUCUGAUUCUUUGGCAAAAGGUGUUCCUACAAAGUGCUUCAUUUUCAAGGAGAUUCAUGGAGAAGUCUUUGACAUCUGAUAUUCUAUAGACUUUGUUGCAACAUCUGUGAGAGAGAAGAUGGAUGGUGAACCCACAGAAAAUUGAAGGCCCAGGUGAAACGGGACACAGACCAUAUUCCCUCAGCUCACCGUUGGGGGAAGCGGAGAAGAGGAUAAGGCUUAACAAAGGCAAGUGGAUUUCCCCAUCGUCCCUGAAGAGAAGCUGUGCUAUCACUCUGUGCAAGAGGUCCAAAAGUCAGGAUCCCGCCUUGAGUCAUGGUGGAGUAAGGAAGGAGACAUACUGCUACUCUGAUUGUGCUCUCUCUAGCUGACUUCAAAGCCACCAAGGAUCCUGCCUUGCAAGAUGCUGACCUGUUAACUCCCAGAGCCAGACUCUAUCUGGACUCUUGGGACUUCAGACAUAAGGAAAGGCUACUCUUUUGGGACUUACGCCUUUCUUGGACUUCACCAUGAUCCAGUGUACCACAGCACAUGCUUUCCUGGAUUAUUGCAUGGAGGCUGAUGACAGUGUACCCCAGAUCCUGAAGGAGAGAGCUGCUGCAAGGCUGUUUGUACAGCCACUUAAGCACAGAAGGAUAUGGGGAACUAUUGGGCUUGGCUCUGGCUUUUAGCCUUUUGGGGAACAAGUGAAGUGGUAGGUCUCGGGGAAGAACAGGGUUCUGAGCGUAAGUACUCUCAGUGUCCCCCAAGGUUGGAAUAUUGUAGAUGAAAACCUGUUUUUUCCAAUACUAAUUGUUAGAUCAUACAUCACGUGAAUGGGCCCCUGUCUGCUUGGUUACACAGGCCCUGCUAUAAGUGUUAGAAAUGUGAAAGAAAUAGAGGCGGGAAGAACUGGGUUAUCUGAUCCAAGUACCUUUGUUUGAUGCUACCCUGAGAGGCUGGCUGAUGAGUGGGGUUGACUUCAGCACCAUGGGGGAAGGCAAGAGUGGGGUUUUUAAGAGAAAAAGUGAGGCGUUUGUGAGGGGAUAGGGGAGGAAGGGGUCAGUCUCUUGUUCUUCCAGGCAGGUGCCUCAGGGUUUCAGGAUGUGAGCUGGGACAAUAGGUUAGGUAAAGGGUGGGCUGUUCUCUAGUACUGGAGGAUCAGUAUGGCCACCGGCUAUUGUAGCUGGCACCAGGUGUCUAUUGUGCCCAAGGGGGAGAGUUUAGAUUGUGCUGGCGCCAGGUGUCUCUUGUGCCCAGUGGGGGAGAGUUUCAAUUGUGCUGCAGGCUAACAAGUAAGUUAGGACAACUGAGUCAUAGGCAUUCCAGAGGGUUGGAAACUGGCCUGACUGGGUCAUUAGCAGUCUGGGGGUUGGGGGUCUGGCCUGACUCUUUCAAUAAGAUUUCAGGAGUCAUUUUGUGAGGUAAGAUUUGGGUCGUUCCAAUAGCUGUGCUUAGAUGCAUGUCUAUCCAACCCCUAAGAAUGUAAAGAAGAUGUAGUUUUUGUAGGGAUUUUGGGGGGGUCUAGAAAAUCUUUAUUUUCCAUGUGACACUGUACAUACUUCAUUCUUUAGGCCAUCUGGCAAAGCAAGGGCUUGUGUGGGGACUGGGGAUCAGAGCAGUAAGCAACCAUUGAGAAGGCAAAAAUGCUAGUGAAGCAUAGUAAAGCUCUGGGCAGCCCAGGACAGAAACAAAAUCGCACUGUCUGUAUCACACAGUAUUGCUGCCCAAACUGAAUUGUAGCUGGCAGGCAGCCCCAGGAGGUCUCUCAAAAAGUCUGGUUUUGGUGUAUAGUAAACAGUUUCUAGGUGCCCACACACAAUAUAUGAAAAUUAAAUGUAUGAAAGUUGUGGACUAUGUGUAUAUCAAACUCUAAUAAGAGCUAUAUCUACUCCUGAGCUGUUACUAAGAGUCAAUGAGGUAUUUUAUGUGACCAUGCCUAGCAUGGGUUUAGCACUGACCAGUGGUUGUUCUCAGAGUAAGGCAACCAGACCAGCAUCAUUGGCAUCACCUUGGAACUUGUCAGAAAUACACUCUUGGGUUUCACCCCAGACCCACUGAAUCAGAAACUCUGAGGGUGGGGUGGACUGUCUGUGUUUUAGCAGAUCUUUCCAUGUGAUUCAGAUGCAAUGAAGUCUGAGAACGACUGACACAGACAUUGGGUUUUCUUCUUUCCUUUAAAGGAAUCUCUUCAAAGAAAAUACAUUCUUCCACAAUCUCCUUUAAUAAACUUUUGUAGUGAUAAAUGGGUUCCAGCUAGUCUGAAAUUUCAUACAUGUUGUCAAGCUCAAUUUUUCUACUGAGUUUAAUCAUAUUUUGAAUUCUCCUUAUAGAAAUAGUAAAACAUCUGAUCAGCACUCUUCCUGUACUUCUCAUCAAUGUCAAGACCAUUCAGCCAUCUGGGCCUUGUUUGUUAAAAGAAGAAGGCGAAGAAGAAGGAGGAGGAGAAGAAUAAGAAGAACAAGAAGAAUAUGAGUGAAAUUAAUAGAAACAAUUGAAAAAGCUAUUUGAGACACCACAAAAGAAGUAAAUCCUUGUGAGUUUAAUAACUUGAAAGGUAUUUGAUCUGAAUGAAGAUUUGCCAAGUCAUAUAAUAAAUCAUGAUUAUUUAACCAGCUCAAAAAAAAAAAAAAAGCUCUGGGCAUCUCCCAAGGAAGGCUUGCAUUUGAGUUAGAUGUUCUGUGACUCUAGAAGUUAGGGGUUAGGCACUGUGGCAGAGACAAGAGAAGGAUAUUCCCCUCUAGAGCAACAGUUCCUAGUAGUACACAUAGUGUUUCUCUAGGUGAAGCCUCUAAUGAAGGAAUAAAUUAGAAAAGGCUGGGCUGAACUCAGAGCAGUUUGGCUGGUGGCCACUCAUGUGCCCUCGCCAUUAACUUUGUGCCCUGACAGUUGGGCUUUUCUGAAAAGAUUAAUAUUAUGGCUUGAACAAGGGAAAGCUGAGGGUGUAUAAUUCAUGAGUGGUCCCUUCUGGGGUCACAGUGUGUGGAUGGAGAUUUGUGUUUGCUGCCAAGAGUGUAAGGCAGUCUUCAUUAUCUUCUGCAUCCCUACUCAUAAGGUAUUGACACUUACUGGCAGUCAAGAAGCUGAUGUCCUAGCAGUUGACUCUUUAGUACGUGUAGCAGAUUGGGUGCAUAGAAAGUGUGGCCUUUGCAGUAUUCAGGUGGGAUGGCAUACUGUCAAGGAUGCUAGAUUUCCCUUGAAAUACAGUAACAUGGUUAAUGGAGUAAUAGCGUGUCAUAUGUGUUCUAAACAACUCCCAAGAUGACAGCCAAAGGAGUCUGGGGCCAUCCACCAGAGUUCUCAACUGGUGAGAUAUAGGCCAACCAAUUAUAUUGGCCCACUCCCUCCAAGUGUGUGUUCUAGAUAUGCCUUGGUUUGUGUGGAUGCUUAGUCUGACUUAACCCAAACUUUCCCUUGUUGCCAUGCUAACCAGGCUGCCAUCAUUAGUGGAUCAGAGAAGCUGAGUACCAUGUAUAGAUACCCUAGUUAAAUAGAUAAUGAAUGGAGAUCACAUUUCAAAGGCCCUGAUGAACAAUAGUGGGCAAAAGAACAUCACAUUGAAUGGGAGGUUUCAUUUCCCCUAUAACCCCUAAGCAGCAGGGGUUGGUAGACAGGGAGAAUGGAAUAUUAAAGCAGCAGAUUAAGUUAUUAACAGGUAAACCACCUUAGCUGGGUAGACUGAAGUAUUGUUCCAGGCUUUAAUAUAUUUGAAUGAUGAGUCAGAGGGCCUGUUACCCUAUAUGCUAGACUUGGGAUCCAUACCAAGCACCCAGUACUGUAAAGGUAUGGAAGUCUCAAUAAAAAGCCCUUGUCUUCACUCUUACCGUGGAUCAAUGUGCUAUGCUGCUGAGAACACAAAGCCCCAUUAUGCCUGGGAAAGGAGUUAUCUACUAAAAUUUGCAAUGGUACAUCCUACCAUGAGGGGUGAGUUACUUCAUACCCCUGGGUGAGGGGAAACUAUUCAGUCUCCACUGGGAUCCCGUUGUCCUGGGGCAAGUUGGACCUUUUGAAAUGUACUAUACCUGGAAUGGAACAUGCACUAUUGAAAGAGGGGAGAAGAUAGAGGUUUUGGUCUGGCAUAUCCCACCCCCAGUCCAUCUCCUCACAUCUGACAGUUCUGCCUCCUUCUGGCCAACAUGUAUGGUACAUACCACUAGGCCAAGUUCCUAAAGCUGCCAACCUUCCUCUCAAGGAAUAUUCCCUUGGAGGGCAUAUUCUGUUCCCUGUAGGUAGAUCACUUGGCUGCUAUCUUUGGUCCCUUCAUUGGCCUGGAGGAAAUUAUAGCACACAUAGAAACCCUUAUUAAAUUCACCCAACAAGCCUUAUGAUAGCCAGCAAAGCUUGUCCUUAUUGAACAUUGCAAUGUCUCUAGUGAGAAAAGCUAUAUUCCAUAAUAGAAUGGCCUUCAACAUUACUGAAUGUUGUUUGUUUAUAUCUGAUGAGAAUGUUUAUGAUGAGAAUAUUUAUGUAUUAUCUUUAUUUAAUUGCAUGAGGACACCAGGGAAUGUCCUGAGUGAUCCAGCCCCUAGCCUAAGGGACAGAGUUAAUCAAUCAUUUGGAUCAUGGGGUUCUUGGUGGAAAAGUUGUCAUUGAUUUUGGGAAUUAUUGUCUUAACCUCUGUUCUCUCUUGCAUGUGCCCGUGUGGUGCUGUGGUAUCUGCCUCCAGAGAGCUGCUGCCGAUGAGCCAUCUCUGUGCUAGUGAAACCCCUUGCUGACUACUCAGGGCACUAUUCAGAAGAUCACUGCAUGUGAGAUUGUAAGGGCCAGUCAUAACGGGUGGAAUGUUGGGGUCAUCAUCAAGAAGACCUGACUGCCAGUUGAUCCUCUAGCUGGAUCUGGAAAAUUAGAGGCUUUCCACCCUCUCAAUGUACUUGGAAAAUGUUCUGCUUGCCUUCCUCAUUCCUAGAAGCUGCACCAAGGGUACAGCUUUUGAGAUAGAAAUGUAGAGACUACUUGGGCAGUAUAUGUGACUGAAUGUAUUGAAGAUCUCUAUAUAAAUUUUUAAGAUUUGGCAGUUGGUUGCAGAAAACUGCUCAUUUUGUAGACACCAAAGACAAACCUGUUAAGUUCCCUUGCUAAUUAAAACUGCCACCUACCAAUCUG